UCAAGUACAUCUUUACAUCUCUGAAAACUCAAAGAAUCAUCCCUCUCUCAAUUACAAGUUUCCUUACAGCCAACUAAUAUCCAAGUGCAAUACAUAUUAGUAUGGUGUGUGUAUAUGUAUAACAAAAUCAGCAUCCUAUGUAAUCAAAUCAACACCGUCACCUAUACAUCGUACUCCAUCGACGGUACUUCGGCUUCUGCUUUCUCCUUCAUGCCAUCUGGAAAUAACAUAUAAUGAGCAAACACAGGUCCAGUAAAAUAAAUUUUGAACCGAAAUUACAGCGUCGCAAUUUGCUAAGGCUCUAACUCAAUUCACCUUAAUUUUACCCAUUCCUACCCUUAUUACGACUCGCCAACGUUCAACCCAACCCUAUAUCCAUCAAGGUACCAUACACCCUUACGGUUAACAGUCCUGCAAUCAAUACGUCAACAAAACAAGACAUAUAAACGUUUACCUUCACCAACACAGAACUGAUCCAGCAUUUUUAAACACAGCUAAAUCCCCCCAAAACCCCCACCCACUCCAAUCCGUCACUCAUUCAGCAACACAAACUACCCACUCUAACAUCUACCUUGGCUGACUGUAACACCAAACGGCAAAUUUAGGCAUGCCCCGGCCAUCCCUUGGCCACACACACACCCAAUCGCCUACCUUGGCUUUUUCAGAAUGCAGCUCAUACGACACCGACCACCCCGUGGCCACACACGCACACAUACUCACCUGUUUUGGCUCUUCAGAAACAACAAAAAACAGCAAUCAAGUGCAAUGUCGGCCCUCCACUGGCCACUCACCCAAUCAAUCGCCUAUCCGGCUUUUCGGCAUAUCACACCACUGCCUCGUACCGGCUCGGCCAAUCCAUUGGCCCCUCACAUCCACAGCAUUCAGAACCGGGUAUCCAAUUCAUGGAAACGCCUCUUUUACGCAUCACAACCGGCCAUCAAGUGACCACGCACACACACAACCUCGCCAAUUUCGGCUUCAUAGAAUGACCGACAACCUACUCGCUAACUGUUCUUCAUUUUCGCUCACAUUCCGUUCUCAACUUCCUAUGAUGCAACUCUCAUCACUAAAUUCCCGCUAACAAAGUAACCAUGCUUCAUUCCAACCUAUCAGCCUCACCAGAGGCCCUGCUACAUUCUAAUCCACACAUCUAAUCCUACUUCACCACCGAGUUCUAAACUAAACCUUUCCAACGUUUGCUACUGAUCACCACAAGUUUGAGCGAUCUCUCUCUUCUUCACUCCAGGCGGUCACUUCCUCACUGUUCUUCUAUUCUUCCACUCAACACUCCACGAUCAAGCUCAACUUGAGCCCUAACCAAUUCACACACAUUGCUAACACAAAAUUUUAAUUUCAAAAUUUAUUUAUCUAUGGUUUCCAUCUCCCUCUGAUUCAGUAGAAUUUCUCUCCAAUCUCGCUGUUCCUGGCCGGUUCAGUCGCAAUUUUCUUAACUCUUCUCGAUCUUUUCUCCCUCUCGUGGCCUUCUUUUUUUUUUUCCUCCCUUUUUACUUCAGCCCACUACCUCUUUUUUAUCCUCGACCUGGCUCAAUCCGAACCGUUGAAAUCCUCUACAUGAUCUCUACCGUCCAUCUUGGUGUUCCCGUACUCUCUCUCUUAUGAUUCACUUCCGCCUCCACCAGUCCCUCCUUUGUAAAACACUGCAUCCGCAUUAAUUCCCCUUUUGAAUACCCAAAAUACCAAAACGUUACAUCAACAAUUAGUGGGACUU
rnacentral:lncRNA from 1 species